UCCGUGGUGGCCAUUCCCCAGAGGUAGUUUGGUCCCUUCGGGUGGUGGUCCGGAUCCGUGGUGGCCAUUCCCCAGAGGUAGUUUGUUCCCUUCGGGUGGUGGUCCGGAUCCGUGGUGGCCAUUCCCCAGAGGUAGUUUGGUCCCUUCGGGUGGUGGUCCGGAUCCGUGGUGGCCAUUCCCCAGAGGUAGUUUGGUC